AUGAAUCGUCAUUUUUGGCAAGAGCGGGUGGCUUCAUGUUGGGCCAGUAGACGAAUCUACCUUGGGGAGUUGAUGUGAUUACCAGGCCACGCUGUGGCCCUAAUAAAGAAGUCUCCUCGUCCGGGUCCGAAUAGUAGUCGAGGUUCUCGAUCGUAUCUGUAUCGGAUUGUGAUCUGGACUGGGUAGUAUGAUAACUAGUGGUCGUGUUGCGGAGUCCGAAUGGGAAUCGAC
rnacentral:lncRNA from 1 species